rnacentral:rRNA from 1 species
CAGCCGCCGCGGGAAUACGGAGGGUGCAAGCGUUAAUCGGAAUUACUGGGCGUAAAGCGCACGCAGGCGGUCUGUCAAGUCAGAUGUGAAAUCCCCGGGCUUAACCUGGGAACUGCAUUUGAAACUGGCAGGCUAGAGUCUUGUAGAGGGGGGUAGAAUUCCAGGUGUAGCGGUGAAAUGCGUAGAGAUCUGGAGGAAUACCGGUGGCGAAGGCGGCCCCCUGGACAAAGACUGACGCUCAGGUGCGAAAGCGUGGGGAGCAAACAGGAUUAGAUACCCCUGUAGUCCCUGUCUCUUAUAU